AGAUGUGAGGGCAAUCUGGUUGUGACAUCUGUCACUCCAUCGAUCACCAGGGCUGAUUUGGCCCCUCUGUCUGGCUAGGCGGGUGUCCCCUUCCUCUCUCAGUGCUCCAUGUGUGACCUUCCCAAAGCUGUAUGAUCAGUCAAAGAGGACAAUCUUCCCUGAAAAAAGAGGACUGUUCUUCAGUGGAGGGUGUUGGAGUAGCUGUGUCAGAACCUCCAAACAAGCUCUCAAGGUCCAUUUGUAGGGAACACAUUUGUUCUGAAGUCUGGGAAUGAAGCUUCCCAGACUCCAGACACAUCCAGAUGAGGUGCUGCGUGUGGCAGUCUGCCUUUAUUU
rnacentral:snRNA from 1 species